rnacentral:snoRNA from 1 species
CAGGCUGUGAUGAUUGGCGCAGGGGUACGGACCUCAGCUGAGCCAUGGGAGCUGAAUGUACGUGUUUCGCCUUCGUCCUGCGUGUGGCAGGUUGACGGUGAGCACAUACAGGAGACGGAUGCCUCAGUCUGAGCCUG